rnacentral:rRNA from 1 species
UACGAAGGUCCCAAGCGUUAUCCGGAUUUAUUGGGUUUAAAGGGUGCGUAGGCGGGUUAUUAAGUCAGUGGUGAAAGCCUUCAGCUUAACUGAAGAACUGCCAUUGAUACUGAUGAUCUUGAGUAUGAUUGAGGUGGGCGGAAUGUGUCAUGUAGCGGUGAAAUGCUUAGAUAUGACACAGAACACCGAUUGCGAAGGCAGAC